CCAGUAUCGCCCAGUGGUAGAGCGUUGCACUUGUAAUGCAAAGGUCCUGAGUUCAAUCCUCAGUGCUGGCA